CAUGGCUCAGGACGAACGCUGGCGGCGUGCCUAAUACAUGCAAGUAGAACGCUGAAGGAGGAGCUUGCUCAUCUGGAUGAGUUGCGAACGGGUGAGUAACGCGUAGGUAACCUGCCUGGUAGCGGGGGAUAACUAUUGGAAACGAUAGCUAAUACCGCAUAAGAGUAGAUGUCGCAUGACAUUUGCUUAAAAGGUGCAAUUGCAUCACUACCAGAUGGACCUGCGUUGUAUUAGCUAGUUGGUGGGGUAACGGCUCACCAAGGCGACGAUACAUAGCCGACCUGAGAGGGUGGUCGGGCACACUGGGACUUAGACGCAGCCCCAGCUCCUACGG
rnacentral:rRNA from 1 species